GAUGAACGCUAGCUACAGGCUUAACACAUGCAAGUCGAGGGGUAACAAGAGGAAAGCUUGCUUUUCUUGUUGACGACCGGCGCACGGGUGAGUAACGCGUAUCCAACCUGCCUAUAACUAGGGAAUAACCUUGCGAAAGUAAGACUAAUACCCUAUGAUUUCCUUUGAUGGCAUCAGAUUAGGAAUAAAGAUUUAUCGGUUAUAGAUGGGGAUGCGUCUGAUUAGCUUGUUGGCGGGGUAACGGCCCACCAAGGCAACGAUCAGUAGGGGUUCUGGGAGGAAGGUCCCCCACAUUGGAACUGAGACACGGUCCAAACUCCUACGGGAGGCAGCAGUGAGGAAUAUUGGUCAAUGGGCGGAAGCCUGAACCAGCCAAGUAGCGUGCAGGAUGACGGCCCUAUGGGUUGUAAACUGCUUUUAUACAGGAAUAAAGUUAGCCACGUGUGGUUAUUUGUAGGUACUGUAUGAAUAAGGACCGGCUAAUUCCGUGCCAGCCGCCGCGGUAA
rnacentral:rRNA from 1 species